rnacentral:rRNA from 1 species
UACAGAGGUGGCAAGCGUUGUUCGGAAUUACUGGGCGUAAAGGGCGAGUAGGUGGCCAUCUAAGUCAGACGUGAAAUCCCUCGGCUUAACCGGGGAACUGCGUCUGAUACUGGAUGGCUUGAAUCCGGGAGAGGGAUGCGGAAUUCCAGGUGUAGCGGUGAAAUGCGUAGAUAUCUGGAGGAACACCGGUGGCGAAGGCGGCAUCCUGGACCGGCAUUGACGCUGAGGAGCGAAAGCCAGGGGAGCAAACGGG